UCUCGGGUACAGCGGCCCACCAGCCCACGAGUCCUCUGCCCGCGGCGCGCAGGCGCUCAGCGGGGUUGCGGCGAGGGUGGAGGUGGUAAAGGGGUGAAGGCGGAGGAGGGAGUGCCUGAGAGCAAGCAACACAUGCCUGGCGCGGUGCCGUGCAGCUGGCGGCGGGUGGGGCCGCCGGGCGGGCCGCCGCGGCUUUCGCCUGUCGUUGGGAGGCUGCUGACAGGAAAACGAGCCGGGUGGGGAGCGCCCCGGUCCGGGCCCUUUCCCCUGAAAGUCUGCCGGGGCCGGGUAAGCCAGAUAGAGACUCUGGGUCAUGUUACAAAUGGACGUUGAGGAUCGCAAAGAUCAGCCUUCUAGCCCUCUCUGUGCCUGUUACGAGCUUUGUGACCUGUGGCGAGUCCCUUAACCCGCGCCUCAGUUUCCCCACUCUUCUAGAGGACUUGCGACCUGAGAGUGGUCAAGAAGAAAAAAAAGUUCACGUCACAAGCACUACCUGCCUAGUGACAGGAUUCAGAUGAAACAUGACAAACUUGUAAACGCUGCAACCCGGACAUGUCCGUGCACAACUCUCCAGUGAGCUGGAUGGGAAUGGGGAGACAAACCACACAUACUGCCACGCUGUGCCGGGCAGCAUGAGAUCAAAGAGAAACCCGAGGAGGAGCAAGUCCCUGCUGGCUCAGGCACAGACAGCAAGUCAGAGCCCCCCAGUGCUGGGAAAGCCCAGGCAGCCAGAGCCUCAGCAGAGUCCACCCUGACUUUCCCUCGGCAGGCCCUGGUGCUCACUGCUCGGGACAGUGUGCUGGGCAGCCACUCGUCUAGAAGAACGAAUGAAUGAACAUCGUAUUAAACACUCCCUGAUAUUUGUUGAAGUAGAUCUCCUCAGCGUUCUUGCUAAUCAGAAUAGUAGUUCUUCAACUUUGGCAUAAGCCAGAACCACACAGAAGAUCUGGGACCACACUGCUGCUCUAGAAGAACUUUUCACGGAUUCUCUCUGAAAUGGGUCAAAGAUCACAUCAGGUGAUCUUGAACACAAAGUAAUUUGGUAUUCACUCUGGACAUUUGAAACAAAACGACUCAAAAAGAUCCAUCAGAUUCUGAUCUAAGCAAGUGACCAAACGACCACAGAUUCCCACCUUCUUUCAUGAUCUAUUUGAUUCUUGGAGUCCUAAGGAAGAAUUUCAGAAAGGUCUUCGAACAAAUGCAAAAUGCACAGACUUCACUUAACAGUUGUUUACUGAACAUUUCUAAUUUCUGUGCCUGGCCUCGGGCUGAGUGCUGAGGGUCUCAAGACAAGCAAGACCAGGUCCCUGCCCCAGGUGCUUCAGCGCACAGACUGUGGUCAUGGGGCAGUCACUUCUAAGGGGCUCCCGACUGGUGACCGCCUAAUGAGUACCUGCUGGAUGAAUGAAUGGGGUCCAUCAAAGUAAGGAUGGCCGCUACUGGCAUCUGUGCUCCUCGUCUCAAUGGCUAAGAAGAUGCACUCAGAUCUCCUUUGUCUUUGCUUUACUUGUGCUUCUCUGCAUGAGAUACCUGUAAUCCUAGGGUAGGAAGGUCUGGCCUGGAGGUACAUAACACCAGACAGAAAAGAAUGCAUCUUUUUUCCAUUUCAUUCAAUGCACAGUAGGAAAAGCUUUGCUGCAGGAUGAAAGGUUGCUAACCAACAGGAUCCCCCAUCUGUAGAGAAUCUGAGUCUUGAAGGGAAGAUGUUUAGACUCUCCCAAUUACUAGUAUAGGAGCAGAGAGAACACCUGAAUCCAGUGCCUUUGUACCUAACUUAGACUUUCCGACGAGAUGCUGUGCUUGUUUGAGUGCUGCGGGACUCCAGUGAAGCUGGCUGUACAGGGCUCUCCAGCUAGUAGUGUUUGCAGAACCCUGCCUCUAUGUGUACUGAAGAUCGAAACCAUGUCUCAGUGUUUUGGCUUCUGCGUUUCUUGAGAAAAUCAUCUUCAGCUAUGGCAUUCUGUCUAUAGAUGAAUUCAGUGUGUGUGUGUGUGUGUGUGUGUGUGUGUGUUUAGGGAGGUGGCUUUGGGGGAGGCUGUGGGUUCACCGAGCGUCUGUCAGUAGCGUCUGUCACUCUGGGUCUGAGACUUCCCUCUGUGCUUCCCUGGCUCUCCUUGCUGCUGGCAUGUCGCAUACCAAUGUCAUUAGGCACUGUCUGCCCUGGUCCUCCUGCAAUCCAGCCAGGGCAGUUCCCGUCACAGCAAGCGCUUCCUCUGUCAGAGCAGACAAACUGACUGAAGCCACAGCCGGAAGCAGGCUGACCACAAGUGCUAAAGUUCUGGUUCAACUGAAGAAGCUGUUCUAAGAAAGAUGACUGAGGUAAUCAGUCACCUUCCUCAGAGAAAGUCCACUCAGGUUAGAAUUUUAUUUACUAUGUAAACAAUGGAACAUUUAUUGCCGAAUCCCUUGUUCCUUUAUAGCCAGGCUAGAGAAUUUAGAUUUCUUGGUGGGGGGCAUGAGGGUAAAAGAAAUGGUCAUGGGAGAGAAGAUGGGUCCUGGAUAAAGAGACCAGUGGCUUCUCUAUCCUUCACAGCCCCCUGAGAAGAAUCAAAAAGGUAAAGACUGUCCCUUUAACUCAGAUGGCGAGUGUGUUUCUCUUUAUUUUACCAAGCAGGAUGACAAACCGGGUUUUCCCAGAAAGCCUGGGGAUGCGCAGGGGAUAGGAGUGACUAGAGAAGGGAGGAGGGCAGGGGAGAUCUGAAGAUCAUCCUUAACUUUCCAAAAGCAAGAAUAUAGAACAUUUAGUAAACUUUAAAUUACUUGCCCCUUUUUUGGAUGGGGACAAGGUUAUUUUUACUGAAGAGAACUAAAAUAAUUCACUUAAGAGCUCACUUUUGUAAGAUUACAGCAAAAAACAAAACCCAGAAUCUGUUUGUUGCUUUAGGUGACAAAUGGUGAUAAUGAUCUCUAUGCUCAGUUAGUUUAGAAUUGCUCUUUAUAGCAAAUAUUAUAUGCUAAAAACAAGUACACUAAAAAAUGGAUCCCAACUAUGGACACGGUAAAGAGAUCAGGGGUUGGGGAGAGGGAGGGAUGAGGUGGAGCACAGAGGAUUUUUAGAAUGGUUAAACUACUAUUUGCUGCUGUAAUGGUGGAUACAUGUCAUUAUACAUUUGUUAAAACCUAUAGAAGGUGUAACACCACAAGUGAACCCCAAAGGAAACUCUGAUCUAUAGUUAAUAGUAAUCUGUCUAGGGGCGCCUGGGUGGCUCAGUGGGUUAAAGCCUCUGCCUUCGGCUCAGGUCAUGAUCCCAGGGUCCUGGGAUCGAGCCCCGCAUCGGGCUCUCUGCUCGCCAGGGAGCCUGCUUCCCUUCUUCUCUCUCUGCCUGCCUCUCUGCCUAUUUGUGAUCUCUGUCUGUCAAAAAAAAUAAAUAAAAUAUUUAAAAAAAAUAGUAAUCUAUUGGUUCAUCAACUGAAACAAAUAUACCAGAGUAAAAAAUGUUAAUAACAGGGGAAAUUGUAUAUAUGUGUGUGGGGGGGGGGGGUUCAGGCAAGGAGGGAUUAGUAUAUGGGAACUCUGUGCUUUCUGCUGUUUUCAUGUAAACCUAAAACUACUUUAAAAAAAUAAACUUCAUUAAAAACAAUGGCUCCCAAACCUGGAAUUUGUUGACCAGUCCCAAAUCCAAGGAUCUACUUCCCUCAGUUCCAAAGUACAGUGAACUCAAACCACAUGCAGCAUCCCUACACUUUACAGGUGCCUUUCUACAACAGCCUGGUGACAUUAGUUCGUAGGCAGGAAGAGGGAUGGCCUGAAUCAGGAGCUAAGGGCUUCCGGUCACAAUGCCCCAGUGCUACAGGACAGCGUGCCAGGGAAGACGUCAGUUCACCAACUGGGGUCUCUGUUUCUGAUUUUUGAGAAAGAGAUCAUGGGCUGCCACCACGGAGCUAUCAUAAGGGUCAAAUGGUUGUGAGAAAGUAUCCUAGAAGCUGGAAAGCAUUAUGCAAAAGAAUUAUAAAUCAAUGUCAUCAGCCUAAGGUCACAAAGCUA